rnacentral:rRNA from 1 species
UACGGAGGGGGCUAGCGUUGUUCGGAAUUACUGGGCGUAAAGCGCACGUAGGCGGCUUGGUAAGUUAGAGGUGAAAGCCUGGAGCUCAACCCCGGAAUUGCCUUUAAGACUGCAUCGCUUGAACGUCGGAGAGGUGAGUGGAAUUCCGAGUGUAGAGGUGAAAUUCGUAGAUAUUCGGAAGAACACCAGUGGCGAAGGCGGCUCACUGGACGACUGUUGACGCUGAGGUGCGAAAGCGUGGGGAGCAAACAGG